GGCAGCCCACCAAAGGGGGACAUCUCGAAGAGAAGCAGCAAGACCUGGGGAUCCGGUGGUUCAUUUUGGUCAUCGCCUGUGAGGCCAGCGUCCGAGCGUAAGAGGAAGCUAGGAGCUGUGUCGAAAAGAGAUGGAACCAAGGACAGCAAAUGCUGACGAAGAGAAGAGACGGACAAGCGUUUUCUUGUGGUUAAUACCGAAGGGACGGGAUGAAACAAGGAAGCCAGAAUGCAGCGGCCCCUCGAUAUCACCAGGAACUGCUGCAGGAGGAGGUGUUCUGGCACGGGUAACUAAGGCAGCUACGGAAAGGAAUAGAUGUCAUCCUUACUUUUUUAGAUUAAUUGCCACGGCUGAAGUUGAAGAGACCAAGAAAGGUACGCACCGAAAGGGCACAUCUUGAAGAGAGGCGGCUAGACCUAGCGAUCCAGUUGUUCGUUUUGGUCGUCGCCUGUGAGGCCAGCGUCCGAGCGUAAGAGGAAGCUAGGAGCUGUCUCAAAAAGAGAUGGAACCAAGGACAGCAAAUGCUGACGAAGAGAAGAGACGGACAAGCGUUUUCUUGUGGUUAAUACCGAAGGGACGGGAUGAAACAAGGAAGCCAGAAUGCAGCGGCCCCUCGAUAUCACCAGGAACUGCUGCAGGAGGAGGUGUUCUGGCACGGGUAACUAAGGCAGCUACGGAAAGGAAUAGAUGUCAUCCUUACUUUUUUAGAUUAAUUGCCACGGCUGAAGUUGAAGAGACCAAGAAAGGUACGCACCGAAAGGGCACAUCUUGAAGAGAGGCGGCUAGACCUAGCGAUCCAGUUGUUCGUUUUGGUCGUCGCCUGUGAGGCCAGCGUCCGAGCGUAAGAGGAAGCUAGGAGCUGUCUCAAAAAGAGAUGGAACCAAGGACAGCAAAUGCUGACGAAGAGAAGAGACGGACAAG